rnacentral:ncRNA from 2 species
UCCAACGAGGAGCGUUGCAGCCCCGCCACUUGACCCAAGCCCUCGACACUUAUGUCGGGCAGCUGGGAUCGGUGAAGCGGCGGGGUCAGGCUCGAUGGAAGCGGGUAAAUAUGCAACGGCGCUCGCUUAUU